UAAGACCUCGCGUUAUUGGAGCGGCCGAUAUCUGAUUAGCUAGUUGGUGGGGUAAAGGCCUACCAAGGCGACGAUCAGUAGCUGGUCUGAGAGGACGACCAGCCACACUGGGACUGAGACACGGCCCAGACUCCUACGGGAGGCAGCAGUGGGGAAUUUUGGACAAUGGGCGAAAGCCUGAUCCAGCCAUGCCGCGUGAGUGAAGAAGGCCUUCGGGUUGUAAAGCUCUUUCGCAAGGAAAGAAAUCCUAUCCACUAAUACUGGGCGGGGAUGACGGUACCUUGGUAAGAAGCACCGGCUAACUACGUGCCAGCAGCCGCGGUAAUACGUAGGGUGCGAGCGUUAAUCGGAAUUACUGGGCGUAAAGCGAGCGCAGGCGGUUUUGUAAGUCAGAUGUGAAAUCCCCGGGCUCAACCUGGGAACU
rnacentral:rRNA from 1 species